GAUGAACGCUGGCGGCGUGCCUAAUACAUGCAAGUCGAGCGAACAGACGAGGAGCUUGCUCCUCUGACGUUAGCGGCGGACGGGUGAGUAACACGUGGAUAACCUACCUAUAAGACUGGGAUAACUUCGGGAAACCGGAGCUAAUACCGGAUAAUAUAUUGAACCGCAUGGUUCAAUAGUGAAAGACGGUUUUGCUGUCACUUUUAGAUGGAUCCGCGCCGCAUUAGCUAGUUGGUAAGGUAACGGCUUACCAAGGCAACGAUGCGUAGCCGACCUGAGAGGGUGAUCGGCCACACUGGAACUGAGACACGGUCCAGACUCCUACGGGAGGCAGCAGUAGGGAAUCUUCCGCAAUGGGCGAAAGCUUGACGGAGCAACGCCGCGUGAGUGAUGAAGGUCUUCGGAUCGUAAAACUCUGUUAUUAGGGAAGAACAAAUGUGUAAGUAACUAUGCACGUCUUGACGGUACCUAAUCAGAAAGCCACGGCUAACUACGUG
rnacentral:rRNA from 1 species